ACUAUCUUGGGUCCCGUCGGUUCCGCGGACCCCAAGGGGCUGUGGAUUAAAACGGGAAGCCGGUGACGCCUCGCGCCACUCCGGCACUGCCCCGCAGCGGUAAUUGGGAACGAACCCGCCACCAGCACUGGAGCGAUCCGGGAAGCGGCGGGAGAGGAGAAGGCGCUGCCUUCGUGCCCAUGAGUCCGAAGACCUGCCGACAGCCGCGUGGCGCAC
rnacentral:ncRNA from 1 species